AGAGUUUGAUCAUGGCUCAGAAUCAACGCUGGCGGCGUGCCUAACACAUGCAAGUCGAACGAGAAAGUGGAGCAAUCCAUGAGUAAAGUGGCGCACGGGUGAGUAACACGUGACUAACCUACCCUUGAGUGGGGGAUAACCUAGGGAAACCUGGGCUAAUACCGCAUAAUACCUACGGGUCAAAGGAGCAAUUCGCUUAAGGAGGGGGUCGCGGCCGAUUAGUUAGUUGGCGGGGUAAUGGCCCACCAAGACAGUGAUCGGUAUCCGGCCUGAGAGGGCGCACGGACACACUGGAACUGAAACACGGUCCAGACUCCUACGGGAGGCAGCAGUGGGGAAUUUUGCGCAAUGGGGGAAACCCUGACGCAGCAACGCCGCGUGGAGGAUGAAGUCUCUUGGGACGUAAACUCCUUUCGAUCGGGACGAUAAUGACGGUACCGAGAGAAGAAGCCCCGGCUAACUUCGUGCCAGCAGCCGCGGUAAUACGAGGGGGGCGAGCGUUGUUCGGAAUUAUUGGGCGUAAAGGGUGCGUAGGCGGUUCGGUAAGUCUUGUGUGAAAUCUUCGGGCUCAACUCGAAAUCUGCACUAGAAACUGCCGGGCUUGAGUGUGGGAGAGGUGAGUGGAAUUUCCGGUGUAGCGGUGAAAUGCGUAGAUAUCGGAAGGAACACCUGUGGCGAAAGCGGCUCACUGGACCACAACUGACGCUGAGGCACGAAAGCUAGGGGAGCAAACAGGAUUAGAUACCCUAGUAGUCC
rnacentral:rRNA from 1 species